UAGUACAGACGCUUCAUUGAUGGUAAUGUUCAAAGAUAUAAAAAUAUCUUUUAACAUCCAAGCCUCAAAGAGGAUAAUGAAUAUUCUACCGAUUGUUCAUUGGGAUGAUAUCAAAGGAAAAUUAAAAGGACUACUUGGAAAUUUUGAUGAAAACCCAUCCAAUGACCUUUUUUUCCUCGGAUGACCAACAAUUACCGCCAAAUGCCAGCGAUGUCGUGAUAUAUACUAAGUUUGGAAUGUCGUGGGCCAUCAAUGAGACGGAGUCCCUGUUCAUGUAUGAACCUGGUAAGAGUUUUGCUGACAAUCAUCGGCCAUCAUUCCGGCCUGUGUUUGAAUCCUCCGUAUCGGUUACAGAGCAGGUGAGGGCAGUGUGUGGAGAGGACAAAGAUUGUAUUUUUGAUUUCUCUGUCACAGGAUCACGUGAGGUAGCGGAACAAUCCCGAACAUUCCAGACACAGUUUCAGGAAUCUCAAUUGGCA